AGUGAACGCUGGCGGUAGGCCUAACACAUGCAAGUCGAACGGCAGCACAGUAAGAGCUUGCUCUUACGGGUGGCGAGUGGCGGACGGGUGAGGAAUACAUCGGAAUCUACUUUUUCGUGGGGGAUAACGUAGGGAAAUUUACGCUAAUACCGCAUACGACCUACGGGUGAAAGCAGGGGAUCUUCGGACCUUGCGCGAUUGAAUGAGCCGAUGUCGGAUUAGCUAGUUGGCGGGGUAAAGGCCCACCAAGGCGACGAUCCGUAGCUGGUCUGAGAGGAUGAUCAGCCACACUGGAACUGAGACACGGUCCAGACUCCUACGGGAGGCAGCAGUGGGGAAUAUUGGACAGUGGGCGCAAGCCUGAUCCAGCCAUACCGCGUGGGUGAAGAAGGCCUUCGGGUUGUAAAGCCCUUUUGUUGGGAAAGAAAAGCAGCAGGUUAAUACCCCGCUGUUCUGACGGUACCCAAAGAAUAAGCACCGGCUAACUUCGUG
rnacentral:rRNA from 1 species